GAUGAAGAACGCAGUGAAAUGCGAUAAGUAAUGCGAAUUGCAGAAUUCAGUGAGUCAUCGAAUCUUUGAACGCACAUUGCGCCCUGUGGUAUUCCGCAGGGCAUGCCUGUUCGAGCGUCAUUUCAACCCUCAAGCUCUGCUUGGUGUUGGGCCCUGCCCGCUGCGGCCGGCCCUAAAGACAGUGGCGGUGCCGCCUGGCCCUGAGCGUAGUACAUCUCUCGCUCCAGUGCCCGGUGGUAGCCUGCCAGAACCCCAACUCUCGUGGUUGACCUCGGAUCAGGUAGGGAUACCCGCUGAACUUAAGCAUAUCAAUAAGCGGGGA
rnacentral:misc_RNA from 1 species